rnacentral:rRNA from 1 species
CCCGCCGGACCUGACUGCUAUCGGAUUGAUACUAAGCCAUGCGAGUCAUUGUAGCAAUACAAGGCAGACGGCUCAGUAACGCGUAGUCAACCUACCCUAUGGACGGGAAUAACCUCGGGAAACUGAGAAUAAUGCCCGAUAGAACACUAUACCUGGAAUGGUUUGUGUUCCAAAUGAUUUAUCGCCGUAGGAUGGGACUGCGGCCUAUCAGUUUGUUGGUGAGGUAAUGGCCCACCAAGACUAUUACAGGUACGGGCUCUGAGAGGAGUGGCCCGGAGAUGGGUACUGAGACACGGACCCAGGCCCUAUGGGGCGCAGCAGGCGAGAAAACUUUGCAAUGUGCGAAAGCACGACAAGGUUAAUCCGAGUGGUCUCUGCUAAAGGAACCUUUUGUUAGUCCUAGAAACACUAACGAAUAAGGGGUGGGCAAGUUCUGGUGUCAGCCGCCGCGGUAAAACCAGCACCUCAAGUGGUCAGGAUGAUUAUUGGGCCUAAAGCAUCCGUAGCCGGCUCAGUAAGUUUUCGGUUAAAUCUGUACGCUCAGCGUACAGGCCGCCGGGAAUACUGCAGAGCUAGGGAGUGGGAGAGGUAGACGGUACUCAGUAGGAAGGGGUAAAAUCCUUUGAUCUAUUGAUGACCACCUGUGGCGAAGGCGGUCUACCAGAACACGUUCGACGGUGAGGGAUGAAAGCUGGGGGAGCAAACCGGAUUAGAUACCCGGGUAGUCCCAGCUGUAAACGAUGCAGACUCGGUGAUGCAUUGGCAUAAUAGCCAGUGCAGUGUCGCAGGGAAGCCGUUAAGUCUGCCGCCUGGGAAGUACGUACGCAAGUAUGAAACUUAAAGGAAUUGGCGGGGAGCACCACAAGGGUGAAGCCUGCGGUUCA